GACGUAGGGCGCGAGCGUUGUCCGGAAUUAUUGGGCGUAAAGAGCUCGUAGGCGGCUUGUCGCGUCGGAUGUGAAAGCCCGGGGCUUAACUCCGGGUCUGCAUUCGAUACGGGCAGGCUAGGGUUCGGUAGGGGAGAUCGGAAUUCCUGGUGUAGCGGUGAAAUGCGCAGAUAUCAGGAGGAACACCGGUGGCGAAGGCGGAUCUCUGGGCCGAUACUGACGCUGAGGAGCGAAAGCGUGGGGAGCGAACAGG
rnacentral:rRNA from 1 species